rnacentral:misc_RNA from 1 species
GUGAAUCAUCGAAUUUUUGAACGCAUAUUGCACUCUCUGGUAAUCCGGAGAGUAUGUCUGUUUGAGGGUAAUUAAAAAGACUCUUUUACUAAUUUUUUUUGGUCAAAGGAAAUGAGCUCUUCGCGUUUAUAGCGGUAGCUUGAAAUAAAUGGUCAAGUUUCAUUUUUGUCGAGACGCGUAAUAAUAUUAUUUCGCGUAAUCUUUAUUAUGUGACUAUCAAGUUUUGCCGCAUUCUAAUUUGCGUUGUAUUCGAUCAAUACAAAUAUUCUGAACAUUACCU